rnacentral:rRNA from 1 species
GACGAACGCUGGCGGCGUGCUUAACACAUGCAAGUCGAACGGUGAACUCCGCUUGCGGGGGGAUCAGUGGCGAACGGGUGAGUAACACGUGGGUAACCUGCCCUCAGCUCUGGGAUAACUCCAAGAAAUUGGGGCUAAUACCGGAUAUGACCGCUGACCGCAUGGUCUGGUGGUGGAAAGAUUUAUCGGCUGGGGAUGGGCCCGCGGCCUAUCAGCUUGUUGGUGGGGUAGUGGCCUACCAAGGCGACGACGGGUAGCCGGCCUGAGAGGGUGACCGGCCACACUGGGACUGAGACACGGCCCAGACUCCUACGGGAGGCAGCAGUGGGGAAUAUUGCGCAAUGGGCGAAAGCCUGACGCAGCGACGCCGCGUGGGGGAUGACGGCCUUCGGGUUGUAAACCUCUUUCAGCAGGGACGAAGCGAAAGUGACGGUACCUGCAGAAGAAGCACCGGCCAACUACGUG